UGGGGAAUAUUGGACAAUGGAGGGAACUCUGAUCCAGCAAUUCUGUGUGUGUGAAGAAGGUUUUAGGACUGUAAAACACUUUUAGUAGGGAAGAAAAAAAUGACGGUACCUACAGAAGAAGCAACGGCGAAAUACGUGCCAGCAGCCGCGGUAAUACGUAUGUUGCGAGCGUUAUCCGGAAUUAUUGGGCUUAAAGGGCAUCUAGGCGGUAAGACAAGUUGAAGGUGAAAACCUGUGGCUCAACCAUAGGCUUGCCUACAAAACUGUUGAACUAGAGUACUGGAAAGGUGGGUGGAACUACACGAGUAGAGGUGAAAUUCGUAGAUAUGUGUAGGAAUGCCGAUGAUGAAGAUAACUCACUGGACAGAAACUGACGCUGAAGUGCGAAAGCUAGGGGAGCAAACAGG
rnacentral:rRNA from 1 species